rnacentral:rRNA from 1 species
GACGAACGCUGGCGGCGUGCUUAACACAUGCAAGUCGAGCGGUAAGGCCCUUUCGGGGGUACGACGAGCGGCGAACGGGUGAGUAACACGUGGGUGACCUGCCCUUAGCUCUGGGAUAAGCCUGGGAAACUGGGUCUAAUACCGGAUAUGACUCCAUGACGCAUGUUGUGGGGUGGAAAGCCUCGUGCGGCUAGGGAUGGGCCUGCGGCCUAUCAGCUUGUUGGUGGGGUGAUGGCCUACCAAGGCGACGACGGGUAGCCGGCCUGAGAGGGCGACCGGCCACACUGGGACUGAGACACGGCCCAGACUCCUACGGGAGGCAGCAGUGGGGAAUCUUGCGCAAUGGGCGAAAGCCUGACGCAGCGACGCCGCGUGGGGAUGACGGCC